rnacentral:sRNA from 1 species
UAUCUGCAGCUGAGUGCAGAGCAUCGUG